UGGAAUGGUUGAGAGAAUUCAACUUCUAACCGCUUUAAUUCAAGUGGCUAAUUAAAGCUGUUUUGUGUUCAUCGCUCUCAAGGCUCCUCCAAUCAAGAGUAUAAUAUGAAUAUGCAAUGGUUGAAGAGUAGUCGUUCAUAUCUUAGUGUAAUUUGAUCAUGUUCUUAAUUAAUUAGCACAAGUACUCAACUCAUGCAUAUAAAAAGAAAAGAAAAAGGCAACUUAAUUAUAGUAGUAAGCGUAUGCAUUAAGAGAGAAAGAGAGAGAGAGAGAGAGAAUGGCCAAAGCAUUUGUUUUCUUUUCCCUGCUCUUUGUCACCAUAUCCCUUGUGGAUGCUGAUAUCAAUGCUGAUGCCACCGUGCGUUUCUGUUGGCGUCUGUUGGAAUGUAAGCCUCAAAGAUGCUCCGACUCAGCAGAUUGUCUAAGGAAAUGCAUGGAGAAUAAAGAGGAGCCACAGGCGUUAGCGGGAAAAUGUAAGCGCAGUGGAAUAUUUUCAAAAAGGGGUACAUGUUAUUGCCUCGUCAGGUGUGGCUAAACGCCACGUAUUUUUGAAAAGUAGUCAUUUCUUUUUUCUUUUUCUUUUUUUCUAAUUAAAAGUAGUGAUGAUUAGCAUACAAAUAAUGUAAACUACUUUAAUCUUUGUUAUUGCCUCUUCAAUUGUGGUUGCACGCCACCUACUUGAAGACUCAUUAUUAGAAUAUGAACUAAUUAAUAUUGUGUCUA